rnacentral:rRNA from 1 species
GACGAACGCUGGCGGCGCGCUUAACACAUGCAAGUCGAACGGAAAGGCCUGCUUUCCCUUGUGGAUUGCGGGUACUCGAGUGGCGAACGGGUGAGUAACACGUGAGUGAUCUGCCCCCAACUUGGGUAUAAGCCUGGGAAACUGGGUCUAAUUCCCGAUAGGACUGCAGGGUGGUGCCUGUGGUGGAACACGAUUUUCUAGUGGUUGGGGAUGAGCUCGCGGCCUAUCAGCUUGUUGGUGGGGUAAUGGCCUACCAAGGCGGCGACGGGUAGCCGGCCUGGGAGGGUGGACGGCCACAUUGGGACUGAGAUACAGCCCAGACUCCUACGGGAGGCAGCAGUGGGGAAUAUUGCACAAUGGGCGGAAGCCUGAUGCAGCGGCGCCGCGUGGGGGAUGACGGCCUUCGGGUUGUAAACUCCUUUCGACCGCGAGGAAGCCACCUGGUUGGAAGGGUGGUGACGGUAGUGGUAGAAGAAGCACCGGCUAACUACGUG